rnacentral:snRNA from 1 species
GUGCUCGCUUUGGCAGCACAUAUACUGAAAUUGGACCGAUACAGAGAAGAUUAGCAUGGCCCCUGUGCAAGGAUGAUACGCAAAUUCGUGAAGCGUUCCAUAUUUAA